rnacentral:tRNA from 1 species
AAAUAAGAAGCAUUUUAUGCAUUUAAUUUCGACUUAAAAGAUGAGAAUAAGCCACUCCUUAUUUU